rnacentral:pre_miRNA from 1 species
ACAAUGUUUAACUCUUCAUCUUAUUCAAAAAAUUUACGAUUAAUAAUUUUAUUUUUAUUAGAUAAUAAAACAUGAAUAGUACUUUAUGUGUGACUAAUUUUUUUAAAAUUUCAUAAAAAAUUUUAAAUAAGAUGAAUGGUCAAAUGCCACAGAAACCGA